CAGAUUUGGACUUAUCAUUCCUGCACUCAUUUCCUCAGCCCACACCACGCUUCUGUUCUUUGGACCUUACAGUCAACUGCUUCCUGAACAUUUCUACUUAUAGCAAGCUGGUACCUCAAUUUAAGAUACCCCAAACUGACUUACCAUCAACCCCACAUUGCAAACCUGUUUCAAUUACUGUCUUUCCUACGUUGGGAACUGGAACCACCAUCCACCCAACUGAUGAGGUAGCAGGCCAGUAGAUAAGCCAAAGGGUAACAGAAUGGAGAAAACAGCAUGGCUGACAUCACAUUAGCAGCUCCACCAAAGGAAAUCAGGUCAGCAACUCCAGUGCUAUAUAUUAGACUUCGCCAGAGUAACCACCAACCAGUCCGAGGCGAAGUACUGCACAGUAAACCGGCCUGACCCAGAUUUACUCUAGGCACUGAAACACUGAGACUCUGGACUGCAGAGAGCUGCUGUUACAUAACAGCUAAUCAUGACUCCUUUUAUUUUUUUCUUCUUUAAAAAUUUAGGAUAUGCUAUGGCAACCACAGUCACAGAUGGGUAAGUACGUGGUGCAUUUUUAACCACCUCUUGGAAACAUUUUACCAGGUUCAUAAAAGGGCACUCUGAAUCAAUUAAAUGCCACCCCUCCUUAACCAAAUAAGCAAAACAUAAAAUACAGAAUAUAAUAUAGAUCUAUACUGUACUAUUGUGAAUAAAUGAAAAUUAAUAGGUGUCUUCCAAAAAAUUUGACUAUCACAUUUUGAACAUUUAGCCAGUCAUAUUAAUAAAAGGGAGAUUGAUAUUAUAAAAGAGUCUUACAAUAAACCUGACAGUUGUGCAACUAGUUAGUCAACAUUUGUGAACUUGGAUUUUCAUACAGUAUUCUUGAAGUGCUAUCUGUCUGCAUUGACAAUAACUUUCUGAAGAUCUUUAUGCGUCCUGUGGAAUGACCAGGGUCAACUGUAGAAUACCUACAUAUGGCAAAUUUUAAGGCUUCAGCUCUUUUUCCUCACUUUAAAAACAAUUUCUUACCCACAUUAGGAUGAGACAAAAUGGGGUUGUGAUUUGCCUCAAUUAAAUAAUGGCAAAAUGAAAGAAUUGAAAGUAUUAUAUUUUUAGUAGAAAAAUACCAGCUCUUUGGGGGUAAUCAACUAUUUGAGUUAUUAAAAAUAACCUCCAGCCCUGGGUGGUGUGGCUCAUUGGGUUGAACACUGGUCUGUGAACUGAAAGGUUCCCGGUUCGAUUCCCAGUCGGGGCACAUGCCUGGAUUGCCUGCCAGCUCCUCAGUAGUGCGUAUGUGAGAGGCAACCUACAGAUGUUUUUCUCCUUCUCUUUUUCUCUCCUGUUCAUUCUAAGAAAUAAAUACAAUUUAAAAAUACAAACAAAAAAACAAAAACAAAAACCUCUUGAAGGUGAUCUAAGGUUAUCUACACUUUCUGAUGCCUGGAAUGAGCUCUUGGUUUAUCCUGGCCCAACCACCUCUGUGGGCCCCCUCUCUCGGGAGGUUGUGAAUUCCUUCAAGCAGAGGGCAAAGGCCCAUCCUGUCAUCCCAGCAAGGCUUUUUCUUCCAGGUAAAUGAUAAAAUCCGGAGGCUUAGAGUGAAACACUGACUCUUUCUAAGCAUUUAAAAUUGUCUAAGAAACCCAACAAGAGUUAAAAGGUUUCUUCCCAUCAGGUUAACUUAUUUUCAAUCUAAUAUUUAUUAAAAUA